GAUGAACGCUGGCGGCGUGCCUAAUACAUGCAAGUCGAGCGAACAGACGAGGAGCUUGCUACUCUGACGUUAGCGGCGGACGGGUGAGUAACACGUGGAUAACCUACCUAUAAGACUGGGAUAACUUCGGGAAACCGGAGCUAAUACCGGAUAAUAUAUUGAACCGCAUGGUUCAAUAGUGAAAGACGGUUUUGCUGUCACUUAUAGAUGGAUCCGCGCCGCAUUAGCUAGUUGGUAAGGUAACGGCUUACCAAGGCGACGAUGCGUAGCCGACCUGAGAGGGUGAUCGGCCACACUGGAACUGAGACACGGUCCAGACUCCUACGGGAGGCAGCAGUAGGGAAUCUUCCGCAAUGGGCGAAAGCCUGACGGAGCAACGCCGCGUGAGUGAUGAAGGUCUUCGGAUCGUAAAACUCUGUUAUUAGGGAAGAACAAAUGUGUAAGUAACUAUGCACGUCUUGACGGUACCUAAUCAGAAAGCCACGGCUAACUACGUG
rnacentral:rRNA from 1 species